GAUGAACGCUGGCUACAGGCUUAACACAUGCAAGUCGAGGGGAAACGGCAUUGGGUGCUUGCACUGAAUGGACGUCGACCGGCGCACGGGUGAGUAACGCGUAUCCAACCUUCCCGUUACUGCGGGAUAACCUGCCGAAAGGCAGACUAAUACCGCAUGUUCUUCGAUGACGGCAUCAGAUUCGAAGCAAAGAUUCUUCGGUAACGGAGGGGGAUGCGUCUGAUUAGCUGGUUGGCGGGGCGACGGCCCACCAAGGCGACGAUCAGUAGGGGUUCUGAGAGGAAGGUCCCCCACAUUGGAACUGAGACACGGUCCAAACUCCUACGGGAGGCAGCAGUGAGGAAUAUUGGUCAAUGGGCGGAAGCCUGAACCAGCCAAGUAGCGUGCAGGAGGACGGCCCUACGGGUUGUAAACUGCUUUUGUGCGGGGAUAAAGUGAGGGACGCGUCCCUUUUUGCAGGUACCGCAUGAAUAAGGACCGGCUAAUUCCGUGCCAGCAGCCGCGGUAAUACGGAAGGUCCGGGCGUUAUCCGGAUUUAUUGGGUUUAAAGGGAGCGUAGGCCGGGGAUUAAGUGUGUUGUGAAAUGUAGGCGCCCAACGUCUGACUUGCAGCGCAUACUGGUUCCCUUGAGUACGCGCAACGCCGGCGGAAUUCGUCGUGUAGCGGUGAAAUGCUUAGAUAUGACGAAGAACCCCGAUUGCGAAGGCAGCCGGCGGGAGCGCAACUGACGCUGAAGCUCGAAGGUGCGGGUAUCGAACAGG
rnacentral:rRNA from 1 species